rnacentral:rRNA from 1 species
AUUGAACGCUGGCGGCAGGCCUAACACAUGCAAGUCGAGCGGAUGAAGGGAGCUUGCUCCUGGAUUCAGCGGCGGACGGGUGAGUAAUGCCUAGGAAUCUGCCUGGUAGUGGGGGAUAACGUCCGGAAACGGGCGCUAAUACCGCAUACGUCCUGAGGGAGAAAGUGGGGGAUCUUCGGACCUCACGCUAUCAGAUGAGCCUAGGUCGGAUUAGCUAGUUGGUGGGGUAAAGGCCUACCAAGGCGACGAUCCGUAACUGGUCUGAGAGGAUGAUCAGUCACACUGGAACUGAGACACGGUCCAGACUCCUACGGGAGGCAGCAGUGGGGAAUAUUGGACAAUGGGCGAAAGCCUGAUCCAGCCAUGCCGCGUGUGUGAAGAAGGUCUUCGGAUUGUAAGGCACUUUAAGUUGGGAGGAAGGGCAGUAAGUUAAUACCUUGCUGUUUUGACGUUACCAACAGAAUAAGCACCGGCUAACUUCGCG